GCCCCCGUUGUCUAAUGGUUAUGACGUCAGACUUCUAUGGCGUUCGAAUGUCGUCACGUGAUCUGGAGGUUGCGGGUUCGAGUCCCGCCGGGGGUU